UACGUAGGGGGCAAGCGUUGUCCGGAAUUAUUGGGCGUAAAGCGCGUGUAGGCGGUCCGGUAAGUCGGCUGUGAAAGUCCAGGGCUCAACCCUGGGAUGCCGGUCGAUACUGCCGGACUAGAGUUCGGAAGAGGCGAGUGGAAUUCCCGGUGUAGCGGUGAAAUGCGUAGAGAUCGGAAAGAACACCAACGGCGAAAGCACUCUGCUGGGCCGACACUGACACUGAGAGACGAAAGCUAGGGGAGCGAAUGGG
rnacentral:rRNA from 1 species